rnacentral:miRNA from 3 species
UACUGCAGACGUGGCAAUCAUG